rnacentral:tRNA from 1 species
GCCUUCGUGGUGUAGUGGACAGCACGCUCGACGCGUAACCGAGAGGUCCGUGGUUCGAUUCCCGGCGAAGGCG